rnacentral:lncRNA from 1 species
GAAGCUCCCGUGUCAGGAUGGAGAUUUCCAAGCCAUAAAUGUAAGUAGCUGAGCGUCAUAAAUGUUUUCAUUCAAAGUAAAGCUUUUAAUCCCUCUAACUUGCUUUGAAUGGCCAAUACUUGAUAACCUUUUGGUCUCAGUGGAUUCUUAUUGUUAGAUCCACUGACGUUCAUUAGUUAUCUCCUACGAGACAUUGUAUUGCAAGUCGAGG